GACGAACGCUGGCGGCGUGCUUAACACAUGCAAGUCGAGCGAUGAAGUUCUUUCGGGAAUGGAUUAGCGGCGGACGGGUGAGUAACACGUGGGUAACCUGCCUCAUAGAGGGGAAUAGCCUUCUGAAAGGAAGAUUAAUACCGCAUAAGAUUGUAGUUUCGCAUGAAACCGCAAUUAACGGAGCAUUCCGCUAUGAGAUGGACCCGCGGCGCAUUAGCUAGUUGGUGAGGUAACGGUUCACCAAGGCGACGAUGCAGAGCCGACCUGAGAGGGUGGACGGCCACAUUAGGACUGAGACACGGCCCAGACUGCUACGGGGGGCAGCAGUGGGGAAUAUUGCACAAUGGGGGAAACCCUGAUGCAGCAACGCCGCGUGAGUGAUGACGGUCUUCGGAUUGUAAAACUCUGUCUUCAGGGACGAUAAUGACGGUACCUGAGGAGGAAGCCACGGCUAACUACGUGCCAGCAGCCGCGGUAA
rnacentral:rRNA from 1 species